AUUGAACGCUGGCGGCAGGCCUAACACAUGCAAGUCGAGCGAGCGGCGGACGGGUGAGUAAUGUAUGGGGAUCUGCCUGAUGGAGGGGGAUAACUACUGGAAACGGUAGCUAAUACCGCAUACCAUCAGAUGAACCCAUAUGGGAUUAGCUAGUAGGUGGGGUAAAGGCUUACCUAGGCGACGAUCCCUAGCUGGUCUGAGAGGAUGAGCAGCCACACUGGGACUGAGACACGGCCCAGACUCCGACGGGAGGCAGCAGUGGGGAAUAUUGCACAAUGGGCGCAAGCCUGAUGCAGCCAUGCCGCGUGUAUGAAGAAGGCCUUCGGGUUGUAAAGUACUUUCAGGUGGGAGGCGUUACCGACAGAAGAAGCACCGGCUAACUCCGUGCCAGCAGCCGCGGUAAUAC
rnacentral:rRNA from 1 species